rnacentral:lncRNA from 1 species
CUAUGCCCUCGAGUUUGUUUAAGGUUGUUUAAGGUCACCACUGUCUUACCUAGGUUCCAUAGUUUCUCCGUGGUAGCUGGCUUUGGUUUGAUCUACUGCUUUGUUUAAGUUCCAGGGUUCUGAGUGGCUGGUUUCAGUAGCUUUGCCUGUGUGCUCAUGGACUUCGUGGGACAACGCAGCUACCAGCUCCUCCCUCUGUGACUGCUGCUCAGUGCCUAAAGGUGUUCCAGCACUUUCAUGUACCUGGAUUGAUAUACACAAUCCUGUUGAAGCAUCUAGCACAUUUCAUUGCAAGUCUCCUCAUUAUGAUUUGUGAACAUCUUCAUGGAUGGAAACAGGCGUGCCUUCUCCCUGCCUGGCCAAGGCAGCAACCAGCGAUGCUGCUGCAGACCAGAACAAAGAAGCCAGGCUACCUACAGGGGGACGCAUGUGAGAAGAGCGAUGUUUGGGAAGAUGAGGCAUAACACAGGGCAAGCACGUUUGGGGACCACCGCGCCUUCCAAUUUUUUUCUCAAGGCCUCAAACACAAGGCCUUCCUGUACUCAUUCCUAAGGAAGUCAUGUUCCCUUUCCAAAACCUACCCUCAGUAGAGAAUCUGAAGGGCAUCCACAUGUAACUGUAUUGUUUGUUUUAAAUGUACCAAUAAACUUAAUAGGAAAAAAGAAAAGAAAACAAAGUGAAAAAAAUCAUAUACAUACAAUAGCUGAAAGCUUAUUAGUUCAGUGAUUCCGUGUAGUGGGUCUUCCAUUAGAAUUAGUGUAAUGUUUGGUUUAAAUGGCCAACUGCUGCCUGAGAUGGUCUAGAAAAUAUACAGAAACGGCAAGAAGAUUAACUAAAACUUCUGAAAUUAGUCAGGAGAAAAGGUCAGGGCGGAGGGGAAAUAAAAUCUCAGUGUGAAUGGAGCAGGUAGAUCUUGAGACUAGCAGAGUGCUGGAGUCCAGGAGAUGCAGCGCCACUGACCGUGGGGAGGAGAAAUUAUAAGUGCUCUGGUAGGAUCUUGAGUUUGAGUACAUUCAUUGGUGCAGGAAGCAUAUAAGAACCAGGCCAAGGAAUGUGUCUUGGCCUCCCCCGUCCACAGGAAAACACUCUUGAGGAGGGUCGGGGAGAAAGAGAGGGAGAGCCUCGGAGGCGAAAGGGGAGGCCCGGGGCGUCUGCUCUCCCUCGCAGCCCCGGGGAAGGGGCGCAGGCGCGGGGCGGAGCCUCGGGAG